rnacentral:tRNA from 1 species
AGGGAUGUAGCUCAGUGGUAGAGCACUUGCCUAACAUGUAUAAGUUCCUGGGUUUGAAUCCCAGAACCUUA